UUGAUUCAUUUGUUUUUUUGCCUUUCGGCUACUCAGAGAAUUCUAAAAAAACGAGUUUGAUACCUUCGGCGGGCGCCUGGUUCCAGCAGACCCCGUGAAGGGCCUGGCUGGGACGAUCCGCCGAAGCAACAAUAUGGUAAGUUCACAUAGGGUUUGGGAGUUAAAAACUCGAUAAUGAUCCCUCCGCUGGUUCACCAACGGAGA
rnacentral:misc_RNA from 1 species